AGCUUUUUGUGAAGUCAGAGGAGUCUUGUCCUGGGAAGACUGCCAAGACAGAGCAACCUGGUCAGAGAUGGAUGUCUAUACUGUAGCUUUUUUGGACUCCAACAGGUGAAUCACAGCUGCAGGGUCUUUGCCUGAACCUUACUCAGAAGAUUAGUAUUUUCCAGAUUUCAUUGUGGCUAGAAGCCAUGUUCCUCCAUUCUGAAGGAUCCCAGGAUGGAAUAUGAUUGUCUGGAUUUACCUUAUAACAUUGGAGUCUUCAUCUGAACUUUCCCUCAAGCUACUUUUGGUUGUCAACUACUUAUGACUGUAGUUCAAAGCUCUAUUAGCUCGGUCCCUGAUUCUUUCUGGAGUAUACCUGUGGACUGCAUCCCUUGAAUAUCACCUGAAUAGCUGGCAGUGACCUUAGUUAUCCUGUGUACGAGCAGCCUGCUUCCUGAACAUCAAUUCAUGAGAAAGUGAUGAAGUGUUUGAACAAUCAGCUAUAAAAUGUGGUGUAUCUUCUCUCUGGUCAGUUUUGAACUCACUGUUGAAUAACGGAGUGCACCAAGUCUCAGUGUUGAAAUUCUCCUUUGCUAAAUUCAGGCUGCUAAUAAGCUUCAAUGAAAAACACUGGAAAAUCAAGAUCUUUAAUGUUCCUACACACCCAGGAUAAAGGAGAAGCUGCUGAUAUAAGAAUAUGGGCUUGGACUGUUUGAAGACGUGUGAUGAGUCAGAAUCUGUACUUCUGCUGUUCUACAAGAACUGCUGCCGAAUGCUAAGUCUUGCCAACUGUGAAAUUGCUAUUUCUGCUUCAUAAUGUUUUCUAUCAAAACAGAAUGUAGAGAAAAGGUAAUAACUGGAUUUUUAGAACAAAUCAGACUGCUUGUCAGGACUUUUUCCUUUGGUCUCCAGCCAAAAGUCUCAAUUUAAAAAACUUCAGACUUUAUAUCAUCUCAACUGGCACAAAUGUUUUUAUUUUUCUCCAAUUCACACGAUAAUUUGAUUGAAUUGGUUGUACUACUCUUUUGACAAAAAGGGGCAUAUUCCUUUAAAAAUAUGCUUGCACAGUUAAGUCUUUUAUUUGGUAGAAGUAAUGGCUACUUCCAACAGUCUUAAAAGUAAAUUUAGGGUUUGAUUUUUUAGACUAUGGGAUUUUCAUAGUAAGGUUUUGGCAAUGGUGGGCUGCAGGGCCUACCAGCUGUCCCAUGUCAGAUCAGAGACUGCUCCAACUGCUCCAAAGGGACUCACUGUUGCCAGAGCUGAGCCAUGAGUGAUGCUGGGUGUGCUCUGGGGGAGCAGAUUUUAAAAAGCAAGAAAGAGACCAUGGCUAACAUGGAAUGUACAGAGUAUAUUUCUGUCAGUUAGACCUGUCUAAAAGCCUUACUGAGCAAAGUACUUGGGCUCUGUUAUCCAGUGUCUGACCAGUGAGUUUAUCAAGCCUGUUUAACUGCCCAAGUACUUUGGCUGAGGUGGGGUAUAGGGCAUCAAUUAGUUUUUGUAGUGUUUCAUGCUUUCUGAUACAUGCAUUUGCCCACUGCUUUGUGAAGACCAUCAAUCCAAUGAAGAACAGAAGGUAUAAGAGUCUGUUUCCUAUUUUAAGAAUUUUGUCCUCAGAAUCUGAAAUGCAACCAGUACUGCACAACAAAGGGACUGCUUUACCCCUCUCUGGUGCGGAUUCCACUCCGUGACAAUAUAUCAUAGUGAAAGUAACCUAUAACUCAGAUUUCCAGAGAUCUGCAUAGUGCAUCUAGUAGCUUUGAGCCUACUGAUGAGCAACGUAUCAUUGCCAGAAGAUUUCUGUGGAGAGGGAUUCUCAUUCCACUUUAAAAAUGAAAAGGUAAAUCAUAUACAGAUACUUAAAGGAAAGAGCAUUAAGCUAGCAAAAAUGAAUACUGAGCAACUAACAUAGGACACAGUAAAGCUUUCUUCAUAAGCCUAAUUCAUCCUGCUGUUCCUGUGCAUUGUCUUUUCCUCAGGUUUUCUACUCAUACAAUAUAAAACAUGGAUCUGAGUUAGUUAUGUUAAAAAAGUUAUUGUCUGUAGAGCUUGUCAAAGCCAAAAAAUAUAUGGUAAUUAAGGCAAAGGACUGUAAGAAGAGAUGUGGCACUGCUGAUGUGAAGGUGGUGGUAUGCUGUCAUGGAGAUAUGGACUCCUAGAGAAUAUGCCAAAGAGAUCAUCUACAGUGGCAGAAAAAUUGCUUCAACCAAGAUUUUUCAUAUUUGUCAUCUGCUUGAUCUCUCUACAUUUCUUAUUCCCAGAUCCAAGGUGAUUAUGAUCCACGAAUUCCAAAAGCUUUGGCACAAACAGCACCAUCUGAGCUUGCUAGAACAUGUUCUUAUAGGAACCUGUCAGAGCCUACAUAAUUGUAAAAAUUAUUAAAUAUUGAAUCCCUGGAAACACAAAGACUUCCAGACUACAAUCCCAAUUUCCAUUUUUAAUCUCAGUGUGUUUAAGUAUCUACCAUUUUAUCUUCUUGAAGAGAUGAGAUAUAUAAAUUUCUUCAUAUUUGAAAAGACUUUACAAUCAGUAGGAGCUUAUGUGACAUACAUUCAUAGACAUUAUAUCUGUCAUUCCUCAUCGUAAGCUUAAGUACUGUGGAAUGUAGGGGUGAGUAUGAAAACAGAGGCUAGAAUAAUUAAGACAGAAGAUAAUGGCAUAAGUAGUAUUUCACCUUUUGGCCACCUGUUGCAACACAGCCAAAGCCAACAGUGACUGAAAGUCAUUAUCAUUUGACAGCUGCUUCAUGAGCUUUGUAAAAUGACUACAUAAUUGUUUUCAGCCUCUUUCAUAGUGGACAGGUGUCCAUACCAUGAUUAGUGUUAAUUGGCAAUGUUGUUGGCCGUCACAAGAGGAAAACUAAUGAAAGAAUGAUGUGGACUGGAAUGAUUUUUGCAGACCCAAGAGCAAUAUGCCUGUCUGUGUGCACUGCCUGGGGACAGAAAGUCAGCUCUGUGCCCCUCCAAACAUACUGUUUACAUGAAUUCUCAUUCUUCUAUGAGAAAAAAGCAAUGAUGGAUUUAGAAUGGAAUUGAGACUAACAGUGGAAGAAAGAUACGGCUUAGAAAAUUUGAAAUGUGUCUUGAUCAAUAUUUGUUUGAUUUUAACCUGGCUAGAAAGCAAAGUUUGGUUUGAGAAAGAGGGACAAACAUGGAGAAAGAGCUUUAAGAAUGCAACACCUGAAGGAGAACUGAGGAGUCCCCUUUCACUAAAGAAUAACAACUAGUUGGGAUGUCAUGUAGUCUCUGUUUCUUUAAGGUUGUUGUCAGCUUUGUAACAUGACCUACUGUGUGUUUUUCUCAUAACCAAAGUGCUUUUGACUGCCAAAUGUGGCUUCGUAUCUACAUAUCUAUUGAGGUAAUACAGAACUGUCAGUAGUUAUGAGACCAGAUUUUGCUUCAUGCCUUCCAGGUUGAACACUUGGACACUUAUAAAAUGAUUAGGGAAGAACAUAUGUGGCAGAUGCAAUAAAUUCUCUACUCAUU
ensembl:lncRNA